rnacentral:rRNA from 1 species
UACGAAGGGGGCUAGCGUUGCUCGGAAUCACUGGGCGUAAAGGGUGCGUAGGCGGGUCUUUAAGUCAGGGGUGAAAUCCUGGAGCUCAACUCCAGAACUGCCUUUGAUACUGAGGAUCUUGAGUUCGGGAGAGGUGAGUGGAACUGCGAGUGUAGAGGUGAAAUUCGUAGAUAUUCGGAAGAACACCAGUGGCGAAGGCGACACACUGGGCCAUUACUGACGCUGAGGCGCGAAAGCGUGGGUAGCAAACAGG